rnacentral:rRNA from 1 species
GGGCCCGCACAAGCGGUGGAGCAUGUGGUUUAAUUCGACGCAACGCGAAGAACCUUACCUACACUUGACAUCCUCGGAACUUUCUAGAGAUAGAUUGGUGCCUUCGGGAACUCUGAGACAGGUGCUGCAUGGCUGUCGUCAGCUCGUGUUGUGAAAUGUUGGGUUAAGUCCCGCAACGAGCGCAACCCUUAUCCUUGUUUGCCAGCACGUAAUGGUGGGAACUCAUGGGAUACUGCCGGGGUCAACUCGGAGGAAGGUGGGGAUGACGUCAAAUCAUCAUGCCCCUUAUGUCUUGGGCUUCACGCAUGCUACAAUGGCCGGUACAGAGGGCUGCAAUACCGCAAGGUGGAGCGAAUCCCAAAAAGCCGGUCUCAGUUCGGAUUGAGGUCUGCAACUCGACCUCAUG